GCUACAGGCUUAAACACAUGCAAGUCGAGGGGCAGCAUGAACUAAGCUUGCUAAGUUUGAUGGCGACCGGCGCACGGGUGAGUAACGCGUAUCCAACCUUCCGUGCACUCAGGGAUAGCCUUUCGAAAGAAAGAUUAAUACCUGAUGGUAUGAUGAGAUUGCAUGGUAACAUCAUUAAAGAUUCAUCGGUGUACGAUGGGGAUGCGCUCCAUUAGAUAGUAGGCGGGGUAACGGCCCACCUAGUCGACGAUGGAUAGGGGUUCUGAGAGGAAGGUCCCCCACAUUGGAACUGAGACACGGUCCAAACUCCUACGGGAGGCAGCAGUGAGGAAUAUUGGUCAAUGGGCGCGAGCCUGAACCAGCCAAGUAGCGUGAAGGAUGAAGGUCCUACGGAUUGUAAACUUCUUUUAUAAGGGAAUAAAGUCACCCACGUGUGGGUGUUUGUAUGUACCUUAUGAAUAAGCAUCGGCUAACUCCGUGCCAGCAGCCGCGGUAAUACGGAGGAUGCGAGCGUUAUCAAGGAUUUAUUGGGUUUAAAGGGAGCGUAGACGGGUCGUUAAGUACAGCUGUGAAAGUUUGGGGCUCAACCUUAAAAUUGCAGUUGAUACUGGCGUCCU
rnacentral:rRNA from 1 species